rnacentral:rRNA from 1 species
UACGUAGGGGGCUAGCGUUGUCCGGAAUCAUUGGGCGUAAAGAGCGUGUUGGCGGCCCGGUAAGGCCGCUGUAAAAGUCAAAGGCUCAACCUUUGAAUGUCAGUGGAUACUGCCGGGCUAGAGUCCGGAAGAGGCGAGUGGAACUCCUGGUGUAGCGGUGGAAUGCGCAGAUAUCAGGAAGAACACCCGUGGCGAAUGCGGCUCUCUGGGACGGUACUGACGCUGAGACGCGAAAGCGUGGGGAGCGAACAGG